GAUGAACGCUGGCGGCGUGCCUAAUACAUGCCAGUCGAGCGAACAGACGAGGAGCUUGCUCCUCUGACGUUAGCGGCGGACGGGUGAGUAACACGUGGAUAACCUACCUAUAAGACUGGGAUAACUUCGGGAAACCGGAGCUAAUACCGGAUAACAUGUUGAACCGCAUGGUUCAACAGUGAAAGACGGUCUUGCUGUCACUUAUAGAUGGAUCCGCGCCGCAUUAGCUAGUUGGUAAGGUAACGGCUUACCAAGGCAACGAUGCGUAGCCGACCUGAGAGGGUGAUCGGCCACACUGGAACUGAGACACGGUCCAGACUCCUACGGGAGGCAGCAGUAGGGAAUCUUCCGCAAUGGGCGAAAGCCUGACGGAGCAACGCCGCGUGAGUGAAGAAGGACUUCGGAUCGUAAAACUCUGUUAUUAGGGAAGAACAAAUGUGUAAGUAACUAUGCACGUCUUGACGGUACCUAAUCAGAAAGCCACGGCUAACUACGUG
rnacentral:rRNA from 1 species